rnacentral:rRNA from 1 species
GACGUAGGGUGCGAGCGUUGUCCGGAAUUAUUGGGCGUAAAGAGCUCGUAGGCGGUGUGUCGCGUCGGCCGUGAAAACCUGGGGCUUAACUCUGGGCGUGCGGUCGAUACGGGCAUCACUAGAGUUCGGUAGGGGAGACUGGAAUUCCUGGUGUAGCGGUGAAAUGCGCAGAUAUCAGGAGGAACACCGGUGGCGAAGGCGGGUCUCUGGGCCGAUACUGACGCUGAGGAGCGAAAGCAUGGGUAGCGAACAGG